GUCCACGCCCUAAACUAUGUCAACUGGUUGUCGGGGAUUAACUCCCUUGGUAACGAAGCUAACGCGUGAAGUUGACCGCCUGGGGAGUACGGCCGCAAGGUUAAAACUCAAAGGAAUUGACGGGGACCCGCACAAGCGGUGGAUUAUGUGGAUUAAUUCGAUGCAACGCGAAAAACCUUACCUACCCUUGACAUGUACGGAAUUUCCCAGAGAUGUGAAAGUGCCCGAAAGAUAACCGUAACACAGGUGCUGCAUGGCUGUCGU
rnacentral:rRNA from 1 species